ACAUGCCUACAUCAUAGCGUUAAUGCAUCGGAUCCCAUUAGAACUUCACAGUUAAGCGUGCUCAGGCUAGAGUAGUACUGGGAUGGGUGAUCGCCCGGGAAGUGCUAGUAUUUUACAUGCC
rfam:Picea glauca, whole genome shotgun sequence.